rnacentral:rRNA from 1 species
CCAAUAGCGUAUAUUAAAGUUGUUGCAGUUAAAAAGCUCGUAGUUGAAUUUCGGGAUCAGUUGAUCGGUCGUGCCUCGGUACGUACUGGUCAAAUUGAUUCCUACCUUCUGACGAACCACGAUGUCAUUAAUUUGGUGUCGUGGGAAAUCAGGACUGUUACUUUGAAAAAAUUAGAGUGUUUAAAGCAGGCUCGCGCUUGAAUACAUUAGCAUGGAAUAA